rnacentral:rRNA from 1 species
UACGAAGGAUGCAAGCGGUAUCCGGAUUUAUUGGGUUUAAAGGGUGCGUAGGCGGCCUUAUAAGUCAGUGGUGAAAUCUAUGGGCUCAACCCAUAGUCUGCAUUAGAAACUGUCGGGCUUGAGUAUGGGAGAGGUGAGUGGAAUUUCCGGUGUAGCGGUGAAAUGCGUAGAUAUCGGAAGGAACACCUGUGGCGAAAGCGGCAUCCUGGACCGGCAUUGACGCUGAGUGAGCGAAAGCCAGGGGAGCAAACGGG